rnacentral:misc_RNA from 1 species
AACGCACGAGACCUGCGGACCUGCGGAAGGAUCAUUAAAGAGUUUAACUACUCAAACCAUUGUGAACCUUACCUCAACCGUUGCUUCGGCGGGCGGGCCCGGGCCAAGCCCGGCGCCCCCCCGGCCCCUCGCGGGCGCCCGCCGGAGGUUAACCGAACCCUUGAAUUGUAUGGCCUCUCUGAGUCUUCUGUACUGAAUAAGUCAAAACUUUUAGCAACGGAUCUCUAGAUCGGAAGAGCA